CCCUUAGAUGUUCUGGGCUGCACGCGCGCUACACUGAUGCACUCAACGAGUUUACGACCUUGCCCGAUAGGGUUGGGUAAUCUUUUUAAAAUGCAUCGUGAUGGGGAUAGAUUAUUGCAAUUAUUAAUCUUCAACGAGGAAUUCCUAGUAAGCGCGAGUCAUCAGCUCGUGCUGAUUACGUCCCUGCCCUUUGUACACACCGCCCGUCGCUCCUACCGAUUGAGUGCUCAGGUGAAUAAUUCGGACUGCAGCAAUGUUUGGAUCCGGAACGUUGCAGCGGAAAGUUUAGUGAACCUUAUCACUUAGAGGAAGGAGAAGUCGUAACA
rnacentral:rRNA from 1 species